UCUAUCUAGCAAUAAUGUUUUAAUUUAAUCAAGCCAUAAAUUAGUAGGGUACAUGGGCAACUGACCAAGCACAACUGUACAUGUUUAUGCUUCCAACGGCUUCUUCAGAAACAAGGGAGAGAAUGGCCAAAUUAUCAUGUUCAUAGCACUUAUCAGUGAAUUUGAUAAAGAAUUGCAAAAGGACACUAAAAAAUAAUCAAUACCAGACAACAAGGCUGCAGGUAAAACUUCAGUUGAAAUAAACGUAAUGUGAUUUCAAUGGGAAAAGGCAAUCCUAACUAUAUACAAUUACAUGUAUUUCUGUAUAGGAGGAUGAGCUGACUGCCACCAACCAGAAUCCUGGUGUUGUAAUUCUCAGUGGCAUGAAAACAUGCUCAAUGCUCACCAGCAAUUUAAUCAGUAUGAAAUGUUUGAAAGUUCUAGGAAUGGAACAAGAACAAACUGAACAUAUAGCAAUACCAUACUCACAGCUAAGCUGCAUUUUGAGUACUAGCUGCAGUUCUGAACAGGCCAGGCCACUGGGGAUCCCCCUCAUGGAGCUGUCUAGACAAGUGGGUGGUUGGAGUGGCCAAGUGAGAGCCUAAGCACAUCACAGGGCUGUUCUGAACUCAAGCAUAAGGCAAAUAACACAGUCUAAGUGUUUUUGUGCCCGUGAAGGUAUUGUCAUGGUAGUAACAGGCCUCAGGCCUUAGGUUAACCCUGCUAGACGCCAGGCUGGCCUGUCAGGCUCAUUAACAAUUUGUUAUGAAAGCUGAAGCUUACUAACUCUUACUUUAUUACGGUGGACCACUGGAGUGUGGGAAACAGCAAGGGCCUUGAAAACAUGGGCACUGUUUGAUAACAGGCCACAGAACAAUAAAGUGACAGUAAACUGUUGGACAAGGACAACCUCAGGAUUUCUAAAAAGAGUAUUUUGGCUUUAAGAAAAGCAGAAGUUUUUCUCAAAGUGAGGGGGAAGAAACCAAAGCAACAGAAAAGGGGUGUGGGGGAAAAGCCAACCAACAUGGUAAGGUGCUUUGGUGUGGCCUAGGAAAGUUAUCCUUCAGCAUCCUGAAGCAAGUCACAAGGGAUGUUGUAAGUUAAAAACAGUCUAGAAACCCAGCCAAUCUCCAAAGGAGCUAGAUCAUUCAAGGCUCAGAGAAGGUGGAACUUACCCCUCCGUGCUAAGAGCAGAGCAUCAGCUCUUUGCUGCUGUACUUUGCACUGAAUGCAUGACUGGUGAGGACUGGUGACUUUUAAUUAAGUAUAUAGUAACAUGGAGUGACAGUGCUUUAGGCAGCUAAACAUCAGCAUAAAGGGUGUUACUACUGAAGGGUCAGUCUAAAGCUUUAAAACUCGCCUGAUUAAUCAGUUGUCUUAAGAUUCCCACCAUGCUGUGCAGACAGUCAUAUUCAGUGGGAACACCCAGAGAGGUGCUGAUCUGGAACAAAACUUCCAGAAAUACUAAACUGGUCUCUGCACGGAUGUUCUGACCUGGAGCAGCCAUUCCCACAGAGAGACAGUUUGCUCCAUUCCUCCCACAGACCCCAGCAGCAUUUUCACAGCGGUACUCCAAUGGGGAGAUCUGACAGCUUUGGCAAGUACCAUCCUGUUGCACUGUGACCUCCCUGAAAAGUUUCUACUGCCAAAAUAUAACAGCACACAAACGCUAGGUUUUACUCUUGCUAGGAAUAAAAUAACUUUUAGUGUUUCUUUCUACAAAGAAAAUGCAUUAACAGUUAAAACUGUAACAGUUAAAACCGUAAUUUAAAACGGCAGUAAUUUAAGAAAGAUGACAGCUCCAUUAGCCAAACUGCACUCGAUAGAUCUUCACAGCCUCACACACAGGUAUAAUACGUGAAGGCAAGUACGGGCGAGAAGAAAACGCGUUCCGGAAAUCUAGCGCUCGCAGAAGUUGUUCCUGUUGAAGUACAGAGAAAAACAAACCCUAUUACGACUUUUUACAUGCAGUGAUAAAAUCUACUUUUUGUGGAGAUUACAGAUAAGGAGACCAAGGAUUUUGAUUUUAUUUUGAUACUAACAAUGGACAAACAAAAGAAGACUUGAAUAUUUUUGGUUUUCUGAAAAGGCCAUAAACUUAAUUACAACUUUUUAAAGAAGAUGGAGAAGACAAGUAAAGUGAACUUGUGCCAUACCUGGGUCUGCUGCAGUGAAAGGAACACCAUCAGAAGUGUAAAAUGUUGGUUCAUUCUAAAAAUAAAGUCAUACAGAAAGUUAUAUGUAUUCAGAGAGAAAGAGGUUUGUAGUUUUGAGUAAUGCAAUUGUCUAUGAAUCAAACGAAAUUCACAUGAAUUAAGGAACUGAAAUGUCCAUAUAUUCUUACCAUAAAAUAGUUUGGGUCAUUUUCAGGGGUAGCUUCUGCAUGUGGAGUUGUUCCAUGAACUCUACCCCAGUUACU